rnacentral:misc_RNA from 1 species
GUAGGUGAACCUGCGGAAGGAUCAUUACAUAUCGAGCCAGUUUCCACGUCGAAGAUGGCGGAGAUCGCAGAUCGAAGACACGACGUCGGAGAUGAUGGAAACAGCGCAAACAUCCUGUUGAAAUACUAUUGUUGCCGUAUCAAAAUAGAUCGUGAACAUUCAUGACCGAUCGAGCUACGGCAAUGAUUUGAACAAACCAUAUGAUAGCAUACAAGGAUAGAUUGAUAAAUGUAACCAACUUUUAACAAUG